rnacentral:rRNA from 1 species
GAUGAACGCUGGCGGCGUGCCUAAUACAUGCAAGUCGAGCGAACGGACGAGAAGCUUGCUUCUCUGAUGUUAGCGGCGGACGGGUGAGUAACACGUGGAUAACCUACCUAUAAGACUGGGAUAACUUCGGGAAACCGGAGCUAAUACCGGAUAAUAUUUUGAACCGCAUGGUUCAAAAGUGAAAGACGGUCUUGCUGUCACUUAUAGAUGGAUCCGCGCUGCAUUAGCUAGUUGGUAAGGUAACGGCUUACCAAGGCAACGAUGCAUAGCCGACCUGAGAGGGUGAUCGGCCACACGGGAACUGCAACACGGUCCAGACUCCUACGGGAGGCAGCAGUAGGGAAUCUUCCGCAAUGGGCGAAAGCCUGACGGAGCAACGCCGCGUGAGUGAUGAAGAUCUUCGGAUCGUAAAACUCUGUUAUUAGGGAAGAACAUAUGUGUAAGUAACUGUGCACAUCUUGACGGUACCUAAUCAGAAAGCCACGGCUAACUACGUG